rnacentral:rRNA from 1 species
CCUACGGGAGGCAGCAGUGGGGAAUCUUGCGCAAUGGGCGAAAGCCUGACGCAGCAACGCCACGUGCGGGAUGAAGGCCUUCGGGCUGUAAACCGCUUUCAGCAGGAACGAAAAUGACGGUACCUGCAGAAGAAGGAGCGGCCAACUACGUGCCAGCAGCCGCGGUGACACGUAGGCUCCAAGCGUUGUCCGGAUUUAUUGGGCGUAAAGAGCUCGUAGGCGGUUGAGUAAGUCGGGUGUGAAAACUCUGGGCUUAACCCGGAGACGCCAUCCGAUACUGCUCUGACUAGAGUUCAGGAGGGGAGUGGGGAAUUCCUAGUGUAGCGGUGAAAUGCGCAGAUAUUAGGAGGAACACCGGUGGCGAAGGCGCCACUCUGGACUGAAACUGACGCUGAGGAGCGAAAGCAUGGGUAGCAAACAGGAUUAGAUACCCUGGUAGUCCAUGCCGUAAACGGUGGGCACUAGGUGUGGGUUCCAACUAACGGGAUCCGCGCCGUCGCUAACGCAUUAAGUGCCCCGCCUGGGGAGUACGGUCGCAAGACUAAAACUCAAAUGAAUUGACGG